rnacentral:rRNA from 1 species
UAAAGAAGCCGUCGAGAGAUAUCGGAAGAGUUUUCUUUUCUGUUUUAUAGCCGUACUACCAUGGAAGUCUUUCGCAGAGAGAUAUGGUAGAUGGGCUAGAAGAGCAUGACAUAUACUGUUGUGUCGAUAUUUUCUCCUCGGACCUUGAAAAUUUAUGGUGGGGACACGCAAACUUCUCAACAGGCCGUACCAAUAUCCGCAGCUGGUCUCCAAGGUGAAGAGUCUCUAGUCGAUAGAAUAAUGUAGGUAAGGGAAGUCGGCAAAUUAGAUCCGUAACUUCGGGAUAAGGAUUGGCUCUGAAGAUUGAGAUAGUCGGGCUUGAUUGGGAAACAAUAACAUGGUUUAUGUGCUCGUUCUGGGUAAAUAGAGUUUCUAGCAUUUAUGUUAGUUACUUGUUCCCCGGAUAGUUUAGUUACGUAGCCAAUUGUGGAACUUUCUUGCUAAAAUUUUUAAGAAUACUAUUUGGGUUAAACCAAUUAGUUCUUAUCAAUUAUAACGAUUAUCAAUUAACAAUCAAUUCAGAACUGGCACGGACUUGGGGAAUCCGACUGUCUAAUUAAAACAAAGCAUUGUGAUGGCCCUAGCGGGUGUUGACACAAUGUGAUUUCUGCCCAGUGCUCUGAAUGUCAAAGUGAAGAAAUUCAAGUAAGCGCGGGUCAACGGCGGGAGUAACUAUGACUCUCUUAAGGUAGCCAAAUGCCUCGUCAUCUAAUUAGUGACGCGCAUGAAUGGAUUAACGAGAUUCCUACUGUCCCUAUCUACUAUCUAGCGAAACCACAGCCAAGGGAACGGGCUUGGAAUAAUUAGCGGGGAAAGAAGACCCUUUUGAGCUUGACUCUAAUCUGGCAGUGUAAGGAGACAUAAGAGGUGUAGAAUAAGUGGGAGAUAUUAGACCUCGGUUUGGUAUCGUCAAUGAAAUACCACUACUCUUAUUGUUUCCUUACUUACUUGAUUAAAUGGAACGUGUAUCAUUUCCUAGCCAUUAUACGGAUAUAUUUAUUAUAUCUUAUGGUAUUGGGUUUUGAUGCAAGCUUCUUGAUCAAAGUAUCACGAGUUUGUUAUAUAAUCGCAAACAAAUUCUUUAAUAAAACGAUGCAUUUAUGUAUUUUUGAUUUGAAAAUUUGGUAUAACUCCAAUUACUCAGGUAUGAUCCAAUUCAAGGACAUUGCCAGGUAGGGAGUUUGACUGGGGCGGUACAUCUCUCAAAUAAUAACGGAGGUGUCCCAAGGCCAGCUCAGUGCGGACAGAAACCACACAUAGAGCAAAAGGGCAAAUGCUGACUUGAUCUCGGUGUUCAGUACACACAGGGACAGCAAAAGCUCGGCCUAUCGAUCCUUUUGGUUUAAAGAGUUUUUAACAAGAGGUGUCAGAAAAGUUACCAUAGGGAUAACUGGCUUGUGGCGGCCAAGCGUUCAUAGCGACGUCGCUUUUUGAUCCUUCGAUGUCGGCUCUUCCUAUCAUUGUGAAGCAAAAUUCACCAAGCGUUGGAUUGUUCACCCAUGCAAGGGAACGUGAGCUGGGUUUAGACCGUCGUGAGACAGGUUAGUUUUACCCUACUAAUGACAAAACGUUGUUGCGACAGCAUUCCUGCGUAGUACGAGAGGAACCGCAGGUACGGACCAAUGGCACAAUACUUGUUCGAGCGAACAGUGGUAUGACGCUACGUCCGUUGGAUUAUGCCUGAACGCCUCUAAGGUCGUAUCCGUGCUGGACUGCAAUGAUAAAUAAGGGGCAAUUUGCAUUGUAUGGCUUCUAAACCAUUUAAAGUUUAUAAUUUAUUUUAUAAACGACAAUGGAUGUGAUGCCAAUGUAAUUUGUAACAUAGUAAAUUAGGAGGAUCUUCGAUCACCUGAUGCCGCGCUAGUUACAUAUAAAAGCAUUAUUU